AACCAGAACAAACCAUGGCUGCAAAGGAAACAAGAUGCACAUAAUCUGAAAUACCUGGCUGGUGUUCUGAAUAAGAUGACAUAAUAUCUCAACUGCAGAAGUACAGUUGGCAUGUAGGGGUUUCAACAGCACAUCUUGAUGUAUUGUACCAAAAGAUUUGCUUACACACCACCUGUUUAUAGGAUGCACAAUCUUCUUGCAGCCAUAGAUUAUAAUAUACAUGCAAAUAGACCAUACAUCACCAACAAGGGGGAUCUGUUAGACUUCAGCGAGUCUGGAUGAAUUAAAGAAGAAGUAAAAGUAUCAUUAUAUGGAUACCAUUUUACAUGAUGCUAUAACUCUGAGAAUUAGUGACAGGGAGGGGAUAUAUAAAAUAGAAAGUUAAAGGAAGAUGACCCCCACAGACUUUCAAGACUUUCAAAACAUUUGGCCCAAGUUAGCCCAAAGCCUACCCGAGCCAUUCAUGAGGAACAUAAAUCAAGAUAUGAAUGACUUUUUAUGGAAAAGAAUGAUAAAUAGUGUAUUACACUGAUUGCCCAACUAUUCAAACAUAUUUAAGCUGACAUUGAAUACCUGGUACUCAUGAUAGUUUUAUGAAAUAUCUUUUUAGAUAUGGGACUGUAUCUAUCUUGUUUCGAAAAAAAAUUCUCUUGAUUCAUUUGUCAUGACUCAAGGUCUGUUUUGAAUAUUUUGUCAGAAAAAAUGACUACUUUUUAUACAAGUGCAAAAUAUUAUCCGAUCUAUUAAACUAUAAGUGCUGCUAUGAGCUUUAAUGUAGUAAAAAAGUUAAAAGUAUUAUUCAAUUAUAUCUUUUGAUAUACAUGUACUAUGUCAUUCACUUUAGCUCAGCUUUUUUUUUUUGAAAAAAAAAAAGAAAUAGAGGUUGCUGCUGUUGCCUUCUGCAAACUUGAACCUUGUUCAUAACUUUUAAAGUUCUUGGUGUAUUGUCUAACCUUGGCCUUCAUUCAUAAUUGACCUUCAAGGUUAAAUGUCUAAAUUUUGGCUUUGCUUGUUAUUUGCUAUUAGUGGCUUUAACUUUAUUGCCCUUUGUUAAUUUUCAUAUUUCAUUUUUGUCUUGGCCAUUUCUCCUAAACUAUAUUGUUCACAAGGCAACACAUCCGACUCGCGGAGAUCUAGUUGUUAUUAGUCCAUGACUCGCGGAGAUCUAGUUGUUAUUAGUCCAUGAAUUGUAGUUACUCAAGAAGUAUUUGACCUAGAGCAAUGAAACUUUACAGGAAUGUUGAACAUUAUGUGUAGUUGUGCACCUGGGUAUUUUCGUCUGGAUUUAGUAUUUUGAGAGUUAUGGCCCUUGACUUAGUAAAAU